ACGUAGGUGGCAAGCGUUGUCCGGAUUUACUGGGCGUAAAGAGCGCGCAGGCGGUCGAAUAAGUCGAAUGUGAAAGCCCCCGGCUUAACUGGGGAGGGUCAUUCGAUACUGCUCGACUUGAAGGCAGGAGAGGGAAGUGGAAUUCCCGGUGUAGUGGUGAAAUUCGUAGAUAUUCGCAAGAACACCAGUGGCGAAGGCGGCUCACUGGCCCGGUACUGACGCUGAGGUGCGAAAGCGUGGGGAGCAAACAGGA
rnacentral:rRNA from 1 species